AACGAACGCUGGCGGCAGGCUUAACACAUGCAAGUCGAACGCCCUCUUCGGAGGGAGUGGGCAGACGGGUGAGUAACGCGUGGGAACCUACCCAGUAGUACGGAAUAACUCAGGGAAACUUGUGCUAAUACCGUAUACGCCCUACGGGGGAAAGAUUUAUCGCUAUUGGAUGGGCCCGCGUUGGAUUAGUUUGUUGGUGAGGUAACGGCUCACCAAGGCUACGAUCCAUAGCUGGUCUGAGAGGAUGAUCAGCCACACUGGGACUGAGACACGGCCCAGACUCCUACGGGAGGCAGCAGUGGGGAAUAUUGGACAAGUCGGGGGAAACCCUGAUCCAGCCAUGCCGCGUGAGUGAAGAAGGCCUUAGGGUUGUAAAGCUCUUUCGCUAGGGAAGAUAAUGACGGUACCUAGUAAAGAAGCCCCGGCUAAUUCGUG
rnacentral:rRNA from 1 species